AAAUAUAGAAAGACGAGAAGAGAGGCGAACGACGGGCCAAACGCACACAAACACGCGCGCUGUUCUGGUCAACAAUAACCUCUUGUAUUUCCAUCUCCCUCCUCCCCCCCACUCAAGCCAAAAAUCAUUGCCUUUUUCAUUAUCCAUGAAUGUUGACUCUGAUAAGGGGAUCCUGACCAUGAGAGCAUCUCUCUGUCUCGGUCUCCGGCGCUCUUUGCAGUCCUUUGUUUUAUCUCAGGUGAAUUGUAAUCAUGUGAUCAAACGAACACCCCCCUUCCAUUACCCUCUUAAAUGAAAAAAUGAGGAACAAAAAGCAGUUCUGUGUAUAUAAAAAAAGAAAAGAAAAGAGAAAAGACGCGCGUCUCCCUUUGGAGAGUCUUUUCUCCGUGUGGCUUCAAACGUACACAUAUAGAGGAAAAGCGCGGCGCCGUGUCUCCGUCUCUCGGCGGUACAGAUGUGCGGGGAUCACGCGGAUCUGAGGCCUGCUGCACGCUUUGAUGUGUGUGGUGUUACUGUGAUGGUAGAACCGAAGACUUCAGUAAACAAACAUGGCCAUCAGAUGAUGAUGGUGAUAUGAUGCAGAUCCAGAGAAAUGAGCCCUGAAGAUCCUGCGCUGUAAUCUGAGACGUCCGUCUGUGUGUGUGUGUGUGGGGGGGGGGAUUAAUAUGACAGCACCACACACACACACACACACACACACACACACACA